rnacentral:rRNA from 1 species
CCUACGGGGGGCAGCAGUGGGGAAUAUUGGGCAAUGGGCGCAAGCCUGACCCAGCAACGCCGCGUGAAGGAAGAAGGCUUUCGGGUUGUAAACUUCUUUUCUGAGGGACGAAGAAAGUGACGGUACCUCAGGAAUAAGCCACGGCUAACUACGUGCCAGCAGCCGCGGUAAUACGUAGGUGGCAAGCGUUAUCCGGAUUUAUUGGGUGUAAAGGGCGUGUAGGCGGGAAAGCAAGUCAGAUGUGAAAACUCAGGGCUCAACCCUGAGCCUGCAUUUGAAACUGUUUUUCUUGAGUGCUGGAGAGGCAAUCGGAAUUCCGUGUGUAGCGGUGAAAUGCGUAGAUAUACGGAGGAACACCAGUGGCGAAGGCGACCUGCUGGAACAUUACUGACGCUGAUGCACGAAAGCGUGGGGAGCAAACAGGAUUAGAUACCCUUGUAGUC